AUGCUUUACGGCUUAGAACCGGGGCUUCAACGACAUUUUGAACGUCAUGGAGCAUAUGAGAUGUUCCAGGAGUUGAAGCUAAUAUUUCAAGCAAAUGCCCGGAUUGAGAGAUAUGAAGUCUCCAAUAAGUUCUACAGCUGCAAAAUGGAGGAGAAUAGUUCUGUCAGUGAACAUAUACUCAAAAUGUCUGGGUAUAACAAUCACUUGAUUCAACUGGGAGUUAAUCUUCCGGAUGAUAGUGUCAUUGACAGAAUUCUUCAAUCAGUGCCACCAAGCUACAAGAGCUUCGUGAUGAACUAUAAUAUGCAAGGGAUGGAUAAGACAAUUCCCGAGCUCUUCGCAAUGCUAAAAGCUGCGGAGGUAGAAAUCAAGAAGGAGCAUCAAGUGUUGAUGGUCAAC
rnacentral:rRNA from 1 species